GGAGAGAUGGCAGAGUGGUCGAAUGCGGCGGUCUUGAAAACCGUUGACCUUCACGGGUCCGGGGGUUCGAAUCCCUCUCUCUCCGCAA
rnacentral:tRNA from 1 species